rnacentral:misc_RNA from 1 species
GGAAGCAAAAGUCGUAACAAGGUUUCCGUAGGUGAACCUGCGGAAGGAUCAUUACAGUGUUCCCUGCCCUUCGGGGUAGGAUCGCCACCCUUGAUUAUUUAUGAGUGUUGCUUUGGCGGGCCUCGCGGCCUGGCCGCGCCCCGGCUUCGGCGGGGGAGCGCCCGCCAGAGGAUUCUACAAACCUGAUUAUUAGUGUCGUCUGAGUACUAUAUAAUAGUUAAAACUUUCAACAACGGAUCUCUUGGUUCUG